rnacentral:rRNA from 1 species
ACGGAGGGUGCCAGCAUUAAUCGGAUUUACUGGGCGUAAAGGGCGCGUAGGCGGCAUAUCAAGUCAUUUGUGAAAUUUCGCGGCUCAACCGCGAAGCUGCAGGUGAGACUGGUAAGCUAGAGGUUAAGCGGAGAAAAUGGAAUUCCACAUGUAGCGGUGAAAUGCGUAGAUAUGUGGAGGAACACCGGAGGCGAAAGCGGUUUUCUAGCUUGAACCUGACGCUGAAGCGCGAAAGCAAGGGGAUCAAACAG